AGCGAACGCUGGCGGCAGGCCUAACACAUGCAAGUCGAACGAACCUUUCGGGGUUAGUGGCGGACGGGUGAGUAACACGUGGGAACGUGCCUUUAGGUUCGGAAUAACUCAGGGAAACUUGUGCUAAUACCGAAUGUGCCCUUCGGGGGAAAGAUUUAUCGCCUUUAGAGCGGCCCGCGUCUGAUUAGCUAGUUGGUUGAGGUAAUGGCUCACCAAGGCGACGAUCAGUAGCUGGUCUGAGAGGAUGAUCAGCCACAUUGGGACUGAGACACGGCCCAAACUCCUACGGGGAGCAGCAGUGGGGAAUCUUGCGCAAUGGGCGAAAGCCUGACGCAGCCAUGCCGCGUGAAUGAUGAAGGUCUUAGGAUUGUAAAAUUCUUUCACCGGGGACGAUAAUGACGGUACCCGGAGAAGAAGCCCCGGCUAACUUCGUG
rnacentral:rRNA from 1 species